UACAGAGGGUGCAAGCGUUAAUCGGAAUUACUGGGCGUAAAGCGUGCGUAGACGGUUGCGUAAGUCAGAUGUGAAAGCCCCGGGCUCAAUCUGGGAAUUGCAUUUGAGACUGCGUAGCUAGGGUGCGGAAGAGGGAAGCGGAAUUUCCGGUGUAGCGGUGAAAUGCGUAGAUAUCGGAAGGAACACCAGUGGCGAAAGCGGCUUCCUGGUCCAGCACCGACGUUCAGGCACGAAAGCGUGGGGAGCAAACAGG
rnacentral:rRNA from 1 species